GACGAACGCUGGCGGCGCGCUUAACACAUGCAAGUCGAGCGAAGCGGCGGACGGGUGAGUAACACGUGAGUAACCUGCCUUAGACAUUGGGAUAGCCUCGGGAAACCGGGAUUAAUACCAAAUGGUCUAAGAUGGACUCGCGUCCCAUUAGCUAGUUGGUGUGGUAACGGCCCACCAAGGCGACGAUGGGUAGCCGGAGUGUGAGGGUGAACGGCGACAGUGAAAGUGAGAAACGGUCCAAACUCUACGGGAGGGAGCAGUGGGGAAUAUUGCAAAAUGGAGGGAACUAUGAUGGAGCGACGCCGGGUGAACGAAGAAGGCUUUCGAGUAGUAAAGUUCUUUUAUAUGGGAAGCGGUACCAUAAGAAAAAGCCCCGGCUAACUACGUGCCAGCAGCCGCGGUAAUAC
rnacentral:rRNA from 1 species